rnacentral:rRNA from 1 species
ACGUACACUCCUACGGGAGGCAGCAGUGGGGAAUAUUGGACAAUGGGCGCAAGCCUGAUCCAGCCAUGCCGCGUGAGUGAUGAAGGCCCUAGGGUUGUAAAGCUCUUUCACCGGUGAAGAUAAUGACGGUAACCGGAGAAGAAGCCCCGGCUAACUUCGUGCCAGCAGCCGCGGUAAUACGAAGGGGGCUAGCGUUGUUCGGAUUUACUGGGCGUAAAGCGCACGUAGGCGGACUAUUAAGUCAGGGGUGAAAUCCCGGGGCUCAACCCCGGAACUGCCUUUGAUACUGGUAGUCUUGAGUUCGGGAGAGGUGAGUGGAAGUCCGAGUGUAGAGGUGAAAUUCGUAGAUAUUCGGAGGAACACCAGUGGCGAAGGCGGCUCACUGGCUCGAUACUGACGCUGAGGUGCGAAAGCGUGGGGAGCAAACAGGAUUAGAAACCCGGGUAGUCCC